rnacentral:lncRNA from 10 species
GUCUCACCCAAGGCUCAUAGUUCUCACUCUGUGCCAUGUGGCUGCUGCUGGAAGAUUGGGGAGAGGUGGCAUUGGCAACUCAAGACUGUCUUUCCUACCCUCUUCAGUGCCUCCUUCAGUGAUAUGAAGUUAAAACGCAGUGCUGUGAUCAGUCACCUGAUUUUUUAUUCUUCUGAAGACCUUCAAGGAAUGUGUUGACCAUUAAGUCCCAAUAUUUUUAUACUCUAUUGUGAUCCUCUGAAAAUGGAUCAUUCUGAGUGAGCACACCAAAUGAAGUUUUUUAAAAGAGGAGGGGAGGUCUUACUCAUAACAGUCAGUUUCCUGCAUGGUAUUUGAACAACUUAGAGAGAAUCGAGUAAUGGUAGCGCCCUUCUUCAGUGAAGGUUUCUUCCUGGAAACAGAACCGGAAGAAGCAAGUGGUCAAAGGUCACAUUGGAUCAGCUACAAUGAUGGACAGCAGGGAAGAGUCUCAAUGGGUACUAUUGUGUCCACGCUGGGCAUUACCUGUGUUGCAGCCACACAGACCUGAUUUAGGCUGCCCUUGCAAGUAGCAAGUUUUGCUGUCAUCAAACUGACCUAAUACUGGGAGGACAAUGAACACUUGGUCUAAAUGGAAGAAGCAGAAAAAUAAACACUAUCGUGUCAAGAACAAUCAAUCAACCUUUUGAACAUCUUCUAGAGUGAUUUGACUGGUGCACCAGCAAGUUAGAUAAACUUUGAGUCACCCAACUAGCAAUGAUCACACUUAUGUUCCUUGUGACAUUAGUGCUAGUGCACAGCCAAGCAUACAGGAAGACAGAGCACUGUCUCACAACCUGUGGAUUUGAUUUCUGAGAGGUCAUGACAAAGAUGCAAAAUCCAAAAGGGUAAACUUCGACUCCAGAUCUCACUUACAUGCAACUUGAAUGGCAAGUGCCGCCCUAGAAACAGGCUGGAUGCUCCUGGAACGUGGGCUGGGAUGUGUUCUGUGCCACAUUCCCGAGCCUUCUUUCUGGCUGGCAUUGAUAAAAGUCCUUUUUAAGGCCUACCCUGUUUCUUUGGGCCUGGAAGCAAGAAUGUUUAUAGACAUCCUGGUGAGAGAAGGCUGUUUGAUGAAUGCAGGAGACUGCGGCUAGGUGUCAGCACUUGGAAAAUGAGGCAAGGACAUGAGGUAUUAAUAUUGUCAAUGAUCUCUUGACAGGAAAACAGAUACUGCAUUCACUGUCAGAUUUAAAUAGACAUCAAGUGCAUUAACGACAAAAGGGCAGACUUCAAACAAAGGGGCUGUGUGGUGAAGAGCCGAGCUAGUCUCUGUGCUGGCAACAGCCUGAUCUGAAAAGACACCAUCAGGGUUGCAGACAGGCCCAGGAUUGUGUGCGGUGACAGAAAACAGAGAUACUGACAGAGAUACCAGCGCCAUAUUAUGCCAAGGAUAUUCUAACGCUGCCUGCGGCUCUAACGAAAGCUGACAUCACUCCCCAUCACUUGGGGUCGUCUCUGCCUGCCCCUGCAGAACAUCUCUCCCCAGACAUCAUUACAAAACUCACUGUGGCUGCAAAGGUCCUGGCAGUUCUGUUCUGCUGGAGUGGUGGGGUCAAGGGGCCUAAGGAUAACCUCAGUCAAUCUAAAUUUGGAAUUUGCAGGAGGAGCACGCCCGACCCCACUGAUAUCUUGGCUACUUGAGGUGAUCAGAAGGCCAUUGUGUGAGGAGCUGUCACCUUGAAUAAACUCCCAGAAAGGACGGCACUCAGUCUGUGGGCUGCUCCAGGAAGGCGUGGGGACGGCCUGGCAGUUGAAAAUGAGAUCCAGCUGCUGGUGCUCGCCCGGGGAGAAAGGUGCUCUGGCUAGCAAUGCUAAGAAUCGGCUGAAAUUGUCAAACUCAAACCAUCUCCAGCAGCUGAAAUUAAGCGAGAAUUGCCUCUGUGAGUCUCCUCCCAGAGCUCAGAGUUGGGAUGUGAUUACCCCCAAUAUGUGACUUUUGUGUUCAAAAAUAAAUAAAUAAAAUUAACCAGGAAAAGCAAACAUGCACGAAACAGCACAGUCCCAUGUGUGGCCACAGGCCUUUAUUUAUCAUGAAGGUUAUUUGUAAAAUAUGAGGCUCUGCUCGUAAAUUAAGUGAGGUGGCAUUGUGUUUCUCUCUCCCUCGUCCUCCCCACAGCCCUUCUUCUCCCGCCAUGGCAACUGCCAUCAACUGUGAAAAUUACGGAGGGAACAGUUUGCUUGCAAAGAACAUUUUGAUGGGGAGGCACUCCGAGGCUGGAAUUUGGGAACCCGCUGGUUUGUGACUCAGUAGGCAAUGGUUUCUCUACACAUCUGCAACGGAUUCAUUUGUUUCUAUCUCUUCAAACUACAACUUCUUGGGACUGGAGGGGGAACAACACAUUUAAUGGCAUAUGCAGUGUUUUUAAUUAAAAGAUCUGGCUUUGGCCAUAGUAAGUAAAGCAGGCUUGCCCUGUGUCAGGCUGACGUGCAGCUGUCUGUGUGGGGUUUCUUUUCGAA